GAAUUUAUAGCGUACCUGUUUAACCAGGGCGUGACCUCUCACUUUUCAAACUCUGUGCACUUAUUUUUGAUCGGCGAGGGGAAGGGCUUCAUUGCCUGGAACUCUGCGGGUCAAUCAUUAUUUAAACAUUAAAAGUCAUCGUAUGUCAAAGAAAUUUAAUAACAAAAAAAACUUUCAACAACGGAUCUCUUGGCUCU
rnacentral:misc_RNA from 1 species